AUUGAACGCUGGCGGCAUGCCUUACACAUGCAAGUCGAACGGUAACAGGUCUUCGGAUGCUGACGAGUGGCGAACGGGUGAGUAAUACAUCGGAACGUACCUAGUAGUGGGGGAUAACUACUCGAAAGAGUGGCUAAUACCGCAUGAGAUCUACGGAUGAAAGCAGGGGAUCGCAAGACCUUGUGCUACUAGAGCGGCCGAUGGCAGAUUAGGUAGUUGGUGGGAUAAAAGCUUACCAAGCCGACGAUCUGUAGCUGGUCUGAGAGGACGAUCAGCCACACUGGGACUGGGACACGGCCCAGACUCCUACGGGAGGCAGCAGUGGGGAAUUUUGGACAAUGGGCGAAAGCCUGAUCCAGCAAUGCCGCGUGCAGGAUGAAGGCCUUCGGGUUGUAAACUGCUUUUGUACGGAACGAAAAGCCCCGGGUUAAUACCCUGGGGUCAUGACGGUACCGUAAGAAUAAGCACCGGCUAACUACGUGCCAGCCGCCGCGGUAA
rnacentral:rRNA from 1 species